UACGUAGGGCGCGAGCGUUGUCCGGAAUUACUUGGGCGUAAAGAGCUCGUAGGUGGUCUGUGCGUCGACUGUGAAAACCCGUGGCUCAACCAUGUGGUCUGCAGUCGAUACGGGCAGGCUAGAAUUCGGUAGGGGAGACUGGAAUUCCUGGUGUAGCGGUGAAAUGCGCAGAUAUCGGGAGGAACACCAAUGGCGAAGGCAGCUUGCUGGGACGGUACCGGACGCUGAGGCGCGAAAGCGUGGGGAGCAAACAGG
rnacentral:rRNA from 1 species